rnacentral:rRNA from 1 species
GACGAACGCUGGCGGCGUGCCUAACACAUGCAAGUCGAGCGGUAGAGAGGUGCUUGCACCUCUUGAGAGCGGCGGACGGGUGAGUAAUGCCUAGGAAUCUGCCUGGUGGUGGGGGAUAACGUUCGGAAACGGACGCUAAUACCGCAUACGUCCUACGGGAGAAAGCGGGGGAUCUUCGGACCUCGCGCCAUUAGAUGAGCCUAGGUCGGAUUAGCUAGUUGGUGAGGUAAUGGCUCACCAAGGCGACGAUCCGUAACUGGUCUGAGAGGAUGAUCAGUCACACUGGAACUGAGACACGGUCCAGACUCCUACGGGAGGCAGCAGUGGGGAAUAUUGGACAAUGGGCGAAAGCCUGAUCCAGCCAUGCCGCGUGUGUGAAGAAGGUCUUCGGAUUGUAAAGCACUUUAAGUUGGGAGGAAGGGUCGUAACCUAAUACGUUACGGCUUUGACGUUACCGACAGAAUAAGCACCGGCUAACUUCGUGCCAGCAGCCGCCGCAGUAA